rnacentral:rRNA from 1 species
AUUGAACGCUGGCGGCAUGCUUUACACAUGCAAGUCGAACGGUAACAGGGUGCUUGCACCGCUGACGAGUGGCGAACGGGAGAGUAAUACAUCGGAAUGUACCCAGUAAUGGGGGCUAACGCUUCGAAAGGAGUGCUCAUACCGCAUACGCUCCGAGGGGCAAAGUGGGGGACAGCAAGGCCUCACGCUAUUGGAGCAGCCGAUGGCUGAUUAGCUAGUUGGUGAGGUAAAGGCUCACCAAGGCGACGAUCAGUAGCGGGUCUUAGAGGACGAUCCGCCACACUGGAACUGAGACACGGUCCAGACUCCUACGGGAGGCAGCAGUGGGGAAUCUUGGACGAUGGGCGAAAGCCUGAUCCAGCAAUGCCGCGUGCGUGAAGAAGGCCUUCGGGUUGUAAAGCGCUUUUGUCUGGGAGCAAAUCCUGGCCUCUAAUACAGGUCGGGGAUGAGAGUACCAGAAGAAUAAGGACCGGCUAACUACGUGCCAGCAGCCGCGGUAA